GACGAACGCUGGCGGCGUGCUUAACACAUGCAAGUCGAACGGAAAGGCCCUGCUUUUGUGGGGUGCUCGAGUGGCGAACGGGUGAGUAACACGUGAGUAACCUGCCCUUGACUUUGGGAUAACUUCAGGAAACUGGGGCUAAUACCGGAUAGGAGCUCCUGCUGCAUGGUGGGGGUUGGAAAGUUUCGGCGGUUGGGGAUGGACUCGCGGCUUAUCAGCUUGUUGGUGGGGUAGUGGCUUACCAAGGCUUUGACGGGUAGCCGGCCUGAGAGGGUGACCGGCCACAUUGGGACUGAGAUUCGGCCCAGACUCCUACGGGAGGCAGCAGUGGGGAAUAUUGCACAAUGGGCGGAAGCCUGAUGCAGCAACGCCGCGUGCGGGAUGACGGCCUUCGGGUUGUAAACCGCUUUCGCCUGUGACGAAGCGUGAGUGACGGUAAUGGGUAAAGAAGCACCGGCUAACUACGUG
rnacentral:rRNA from 1 species